AACGCGAAGAACCUUACCUGGGCUCGAAAUGUAGAGGACGAUAGCAGAGAUGUUAUCUCCCGCAAGGGCUUCUAUAUAGGUGCUGCAUGGCUGUCGUCAGCUCGUGCCGUGAGGUGUUUGGUUAAGUCCAGCAACGAGCGCAACCCUUAUCGUUAGUUGCCAGCGCGUCAAGGCGGGAACUCUAACGAGACUGCCUGGGUUAACCAGGAGGAAGGUGAGGAUGACGUCAAGUCCGCAUGGCCUUUAUGUCCAGGGCUACACACGUGCUACAAUGGUCGGUACAGAAGGCAGCGAAACCGCGAGGUGAAGCAAAUCUCUAAAACCGAUCUCAGUUCAGAUUGUAGUCUGCAACUCGGCUACAUGAAGUUGGAAUUGCUAGUAAUGGCGUGUCAGCAACAACGCCGUGAAUACGUUCCCGGGCCUUGUA
rnacentral:rRNA from 1 species